rnacentral:rRNA from 1 species
CCUACGGGAGGCAGCAGUGGAGAAUAUUGGACAAUGGGCGAAAGCCUGAUCCAGCCAUGCCGCGUGAGUGAUGAAGGCCUUAGGGUUGUAAAGCUCUCUUGCCCGGGAAGAUAAUGACGGUACCGGGAGAAUAAGCCCCGGCUAACUUCGUGCCAGCAGCCGCGGUAAUA